rnacentral:hammerhead_ribozyme from 1 species
AUCCAGUUGACGAGUUCUAACCAGGACGAAACGCUUGUCCUGGAU